ensembl:lncRNA
GUGACAGGGGCACCGAAGCUAGCCGAAGUCCAACCAAAUCAAAUGGAACUAAACCAAAACCAUCCCGAACGGCCCUGAAAAGUGUUAAGCGUGGCCAUCUCACCGAGACAGGCGGUGGCAGUGGGUGUUAAAAUGGAAGCGAGAUGCUCAGGAGGCCCUGAGGGCCCACCGAACAUGGAGGGCUCAGAGUGGGUCUGGUUAAUGUCACUGCAUCCCACUCAGGUCCUGUCUUGUUUAACUGUGUUUAAACUUUGAGGCCUUAAAGCCGCAGGAGAGUGGACAGUGGGUUCAUUUUCCAUCCUUGGGAGAUUUUGCUUUAUAGCUCUGAAAGAGAAAUUCCCAAAAAGUUAGAAUUCAGCUUAUCCCAGCCAGGUUUCCAAGAUCUUAUUGCUGCUGUUGUGAGCACAGCUGCGGUUCCCAGUUUGGAGCUUUCUGCAGUGUCUCUUUUGGAGGAAUAGAGGCUUUGGGUGUGUGGUUUACAGCUGUUUUUGUGGAAAAACAAGAGUUCGGUCGUUAGAGCGCAAAGAAACUUUGGUAGGGUCAUAAGCUGACAUCAUUUUAUAAACACAAUAAUGUUCAGGAAAACAAUUCUGUAGCCAGCAUUAAAAUACUUUCCUGCUGUGCUAAUAGGCAAAAUAUAUCAGGAUCACCCUCAAAUGUUAGGGUAGGCAAGUAAAAUUAAUUGAUUUUGUCAUCAAAACUGAUUAGAAUAUAAAGGAUAGAGAUGAAUAACUGAAAUUUCUAGUGUAUAGCUUGGUCUCGUAAAGAAUGGGGAGAAGAACGAGGCCAAGUAAUUUACAGUGCUUAAAAAACUGAGUUGCAAUGGAAUGAGUCAAGCUCUGUUUACAGUGACCUGUGCACAUUGGAAACCUCCAAAGAAAAUACUUCAAUUCUUUGUCACGUUGGGUGCAUCCAGCUUUGGAGGAACAGAUGUGUGAUGUAGGAACCGGGCUAAAGCUGCUCCAAAGCAAAAUUCCCCAUAAUACAGAGGUUACAUCAGCUUCCAGUAUCACUUUAUUGAGGAUCCUUAUAGAUAUCCUCAACCAUCCCAAGACACGAGGUGCUCUUUCUUAGCAGCGUUGCUCAUUUCUAGCCCAGUAUAAUCAACAGACUUAAUUGAAAAGGCGUCACAGAUGUGCUUCUUUGUUACUGAGUGGUCAAAGAGAGGUAAGAAGAAGUAAAGUGGGAUUUUUGUUCCUUAUGACCCCUGAGUAUGAAUUUUGGGGAUGAGUUUAUUUCUGGAGCACGUAUGUGCUGGAAUUAUCCGGUCCUGUUUCUCAGCGUUCUGUCAAACUACUUGGUGUUUAUGAAGAGACGGUAAAAAUAAAGUGGCUUUGGUCUUGUGUG